CACUCCUCGGCUCAGGCACGACCCUCAGCGUAUUCGGCCAUUUCUUCCCUGUAGACCCUGGAGGCUAGAACCCUAAUCUCACGUGUAGCUUGCUUUCCGUCCCCUGCGUUUGCUUGCUGGUUCGAUCUUUACACGUUUUCUCCCAGUGGCAUGUCUGUAAGAUGGGCAUGAUCUGCAUUUGGGAGCUGUGUGAUCUUGGGUGAAUGACUUAGCCUCUCGGCGUCAGUGUACUCGUCUGAGAAAAGGCGCUGUGGAGCCCAAGGGCAGAGGAACUUACAGAGCUGUGGGUUUCUACGCUUGGGGGAAGCCACCCAGCUGGAAAACAGCCUGGAGCAAUGGAAGAGAAGUUCUCCACCCCUAUAGGUCCAUAAAGCCUGAGUCUGUUUUAGGCUUCUUCCUCCAGGACCAAAUCACAAUGAAUAGCCCCUAAGCCUCCCCACUUGGCCUGCUGAGCUAUCCUCUCCUGUGUCUGAUGAAUGCUGGAGUCAGUACAGCAAGUGCACUGGAUGGCUUUAUGUGCCAACUUGACACAAGCUAUGGAAUCAUCAGAGGAAGGAGCCUCAGCUGAGGAAGUGCCUCCUUGAGAUCCAGCUCUUCUGCAUCAGUUCCUGCUUCCGGAAUCCUGUCCUGUUUGAGUUCUUGUCCUGACUUCCUUUAAUGAUGAACAGCAGUGCUGAUGUCUAAGCCAAAUAAACCCUUUCCUCCCAAACUUGCUUUUUGGUCAUGGUGUUUUUAUCACAGUAAUAGAAACCCUAACUAAGACAGCAGGUAAGAUGUCCAUUCCAGAGGACCAG
rnacentral:lncRNA from 1 species